rnacentral:rRNA from 1 species
CUAAAAUGUCGCGCACUCACCUCUAUACGAGGACCAAACGAGACGAGGGGCGAGAUAUAUUGCCCCGGUACCCCGUCGCGAGAGAGGAGUGAGCGUGUCGAGGCUCCAGGGUUGGUUGUCUCGGCUAGUGUGUGCGAGAGGAGCGGCGGUUCUACAAGCCCAAGCCCGUGGUGGUGUUCCUGGUCCGCGGCCGCCGCAGCCCGGGGUUGGUCUAGAAGUUCUAGAUGACGGCCCGGAGCCUCCUGAUGACGGAGCGGCAGGCGCUGCCGCUCCACCACGAGCGGGGGCAGUUGGGGUUCCUGCUCUGGGUCGUGACCGAGUUCCUGUACGCGAAGUCGUGGUGGCAGUUCCUGCUCCUCCCGUACGGCCGGAAGCGCGAGCAGUUGUUCCGGUGGCCGGAGCGGCAGUUCGUGAGGUAGCCGGUCAGGGUGGGGCACUUCGACCACGGCAAGUUGGGCCGCAUGCUCCUGCGCAGCCACGACACCUGCCUCUCGUUCCUGCACCCGUUCCCGAAGGCGACGUAGGCGUACCAGUUGUUGUGGGCGGAGUUGAAGCUGCGGGAGUUGCCGCUGUUCCUGGUGCCGCCGCACGUGCUGCCGUGGUGGCAGCACGAGACCCUCACCACGUUCCCCCUGUUGGUCACGACCUUCUAGACCGGGACCCGGCUCCGCGUGCGGCGGCAGCUCAGGCCGCGGUGGUACCCGUUGUUGCGGGUGCGGUACCCGCCGCCGGGGGGGCACGUACGGCACGCGCAGAAGACGUUCCGGCCGCUCCUGAUGUCGGAGUGGCGGGCGUUGCCGUGGCAGACGGAGCGGGGGUGGUUGGGGUCCCUGCUGAUGGUCGUGACCUAGUUCCUGUACUCCGUGUCGUUGUUCUAGUCCCUGCUCCUUCCCAUGGGACGCAAACGCGACCACUUGUUCCAGUGGCCGCUUACGUAGUUCGUGAGGUGGCCGGUCCCGGUGGGGCACUUCGACCACGGCAUGUUGGGCCGCAUGGUCCUGCUCAGCCACGACACCUGCCUCUCGGCGCUGCACCCGUUCCCGAAGGCGACGCAGGCGUACCACUUGUUGUAGAUGGAGUUGAAGCUGCGGAAGGUGCCGCUGUUCCGGGUGCCGCCGCAGGUGCUGCCGUGGCUCCAGCACGAGACCUUCACCACGCUCCCGCUGUUGGUCGCGACCUUCUAGGAGGGGACCAUCUACUCUACGGUCCUCUCGAAAGCGUAACGGUAGCUGUGUAGCGGUACCUAAUCAGGCCCCUGUUCGGGGGGGCGGGGCUCAGCAGCAGGCAGGCAGGUAGCAGCAGCAUCAUCAGGAGACGGCGACCAUCGCUUAUUACAACGACACAGGUUUAUUUUGGCACACGCUACACACCGUUACCACAGACACACGCAGGCAGCACACAGCGGAACACUAACUUACUAACUCGGCCGCAAAGACGCUCCUUCUUCUCUCACAACCUCUCUCACUCCUCUCCCUGGUACUAAGACUUCAGACUUGAAACUACAUCAUUGAGCAGACACAAAGAGAACCAUGACCCUGGACAUGACACGAUGAGACACUGGACGUAACAGAGGUAAAAAGACGCUAGAUUAGUUACCCGAGUGGAUAGAAGAUCAUGGAAGG